rnacentral:lncRNA from 1 species
CCCCACCCCAUCUUUCACAGCACUUUCCAGGGGUCGCACCUAGGCCAGGCUGCGCUUUCACCAAACAAUACCUCCUCCUUGAUACGCACAUCCCUAUUCCAACCUCAGUGACCUCACUUUUUCUCCUGCUAAGGGGUCCCCUGGAAGACUCAUCCCCACAUUUUGCACAAAGGACAAUGUGCUGCAGUGAUGACCAUUGAAGAGCAGAGUUUUCUUCCUUAAUGUGAUAAUCUCCUUAUGUAAGAACAGUCACCAGUCACCCUCCCUAGAAAAGAUGUCUGGUGAGAAAGACUAGGUUUUCUUGCACACAAAUCUAUAUAGGUUAAAAACAUACAUUUGACAAGAUGUUUACGUAUCUGCUAGAACAUGAGCUAACUACCCCUGGCAUAUAUAUAAAGGAAGCAACUUUGAUUAAAAAUUAGAUUUGGAAAUCAAUUAUUUUAAUAUCUAUUUGCCUAAGCAAAUGGCAUUUUUUCAUUUUCCAUUCUGAGGGUUAUAACUUUGAAUUGCUUUUGUCUCUUGGUCAUUCACUUUUCUACAAUAGAAAGUGAUGAGAAGGAAGUGAAUUUGCCUUGAGUUAUAAAUUUAGGCCUUUGAACUUCCAUUACAGUACCAACAGCAACACUAAGCACUAGCCUUGCCUCUUGUCCGCAUUCCUG